AUUUCCUACGGGGGGCAGCAGUGAGGAAUAUUGGUCAAUGGUCGGGAGACUGAACCAGCCAAGCCGCGUGAGGGAGGAAGGUACAGAGUAUCGUAAACCUCUUUUGUCGGGGAGCAAGGCCCGCCACGUGUGGCGGGAAGGAGAGUACCCGAAGAAAAAGCAUCGGCUAACUCCGUGCCAGCAGCCGCGGUAAUACGGAGGAUGCGAGCGUUAUCCGGAUUUAUUGGGGUUAAAGGGUGCGUAGGCGGAAGGUUAAGUCAGCGGUCAAAUGUCGGUGCUCAACACCGGCCUGCCGGUGGAACUGG
rnacentral:rRNA from 1 species